AAAACGUUAUUAAAUACCCGUAAAACCAAAAGCUAGUAGAUUUUCUGUUCACUGGUUUACGUAGGGUUCGACACUCAUCAAUUGAACAGUUACGCAGUGUUCGAUUAGAAGAACAUUUGGACACUUAUUCGAAACAUGGUUAACAAGGUCAAAUAACAUUUGUUGUAUGUCUGCGUAUCAACGGAAGUCAACGUAACGUAAACGUUCCGAGUCUCGUGUCCAUUGGUGCUGUUCUAGUUAAGCAUUACUUCAGAUAAUCGGUGCCUCCUUCUGCCAACACGAACCGAAAUGUGUCUUCGCUAUGUUUUGAACCCGUGGCACCUCACUGUCCCUACGUGCGGUAGGCACACAAAUCUCUCAGAUACGAGAUACGGAACCAUGUUCUUGGCCAAUACAGAGUUAUUUUCGAAAUGCACUCAGUUAAUAACAUGGAUUCACGUUUAAAAUAGAGGUUCUUCUGUCGCCUGCGAUCAUUUCAAGUACUCGUUAACCGCUGGCGUACACCCUGUAAUACAGAGAAGGCUUAACAAAGACCUGAACAGCUCUAAACCCGCACAUAACAAAUAUCGCCGUCGACAUAUUGACUGCACUGUCAGACCCUUGUAGCUUGGAAAUACCGGCCGGAAAUAUUGCUUUAUUUAUUGAAGUAAACGAAGUAGCUGUCAACUUGUUUAGCAUUGCAAGAUGGCCGUAAUGGGGACACUGGUUACCAAUGACGAAAAAAUGACUCUUUACUAUCUGUUUUUAUCGCGCAUACGUUGUGAGGAGGACAAGGUGGCCUGGUACAAUGAAACGUUUACGUUUCCUGAUAAAAACUUACCGUUUCUCAAACAGACCUAUGAUGGACCGUGCGGGGUUUUGGCUGUCGUACAGGCACGAAUCAUCAAAGCCUACUGCCAAGAUGGAAUACGUGAAUCUGUCGUGUCCGACACGAACAAAAUUCUUCUUAUAUUAGCUCUUGCAAAAACUAUAUGGUUAGCUGCGCAAAGUAACCACAGCGGUGGGACAGCUGAGGCUGUAUUUUUUUCGACCAACUCAAGUUCAGAACACUGGCACCGUUCUGUCGCGACCUCGUUAACGGAGUUAGUGGAUAUUAUCCGCACGAAUCAGAAAGACAUGAGCCAGUACGGAGUUUUACCAUUCAUAUGCUCGGUGAUCGCGUCAAAGGGCGGCAUGGAGUGGAGUAAUUUACUGACAGAACGUGGCGACUGUGAUCAAACUCUGGUAAACCUCCUCAUAAGCGGGCGGGCAGCUCUCACGCUGGCGGACGGAUCUAAUCCGGAUUUUCCAGGCAUACAUGAACAAACGGACAUCGGCUUCCUUCCCACGCCAGAUGUGGCUAUGGAGCUGCAAUUGGGUUCUUACCUUAAAAAUCCACCUUACCCAGUGUGGGUCAUUAAUAGAGCGGCACACUAUUCUGUCGUAUGCUGCGAGGAUGCAGGGUUAUUGCAGGACAAGCCCGGAAUCUACACCCUGUGCUAUCUUCGUUUAAGUGGGCGCAGCGCACUCCUGAAGUUCCUCAUCGACCUCGAACAACCGAUCGCGAAACUGGCUGCAGUCCGUAAAUCCAGAAUCUCACUUUCAAACCAAGCGAACUACAAACCGUCUUUUCCUUCCAGGAACAGCAAGAUGCAAAAGGUUACAGCGAUGGACAAUAUGCGCCGAUGUAAGAUUUUGUGACGCAACCACUGGCAGGUGAUCAGCCCGAAUUCAGUGACCCCAGCGAACUUAGACUAGCCAAAACCUAGCUUUGAACGGGAUUGCACCUGGAUGGAGGACACUCGGAGGAGGAUCAAGUUGACGCUGAUGUGAGGCAACCGAUAGCCCAAAAAUAGUUUUGUUUUCCGGGUAAAUAAAG